AUUGAACGCUGGCGGCAUGCUUUACACAUGCAAGUCGAACGGCAGCGCGGGCUUCGGCCUGGCGGCGAGUGGCGAACGGGUGAGUAAUGCAUCGGAACGUGCCCAGUAGUGGGGGAUAGCCCGGCGAAAGCCGGAUUAAUACCGCAUACGACCUGAGGGUGAAAGCGGGGGACCGAAAGGCCUCGCGCUAUUGGAGCGGCCGAUGUCGGAUUAGCUAGUUGGUGGGGUAAAGGCUUACCAAGGCGACGAUCCGUAGCUGGUCUGAGAGGACGACCAGCCACACUGGGACUGAGACACGGCCCAGACUCCUACGGGAGGCAGCAGUGGGGAAUUUUGGACAAUGGGGGCAACCCUGAUCCAGCCAUGCCGCGUGCGGGAAGAAGGCCUUCGGGUUGUAAACCGCUUUUGUUCGGGGAGAAAUCCUCUGGGCUAAUACCCCGGGGGGAUGACGGUACCGGAAGAAUAAGCACCGGCUAACUACGUG
rnacentral:rRNA from 1 species